AGUGAACGCUGGCGGUAGGCCUAACACAUGCAAGUCGAACGGCAGCACAGUAAGAGCUUGCUCUUACGGGUGGCGAGUGGCGGACGGGUGAGGAAUACAUCGGAAUCUACUUUUUCGUGGGGGAUAACGUAGGGAAACUUACGCUACUACCGCAUACGACCUACGGGUGAAAGCAGGGGAUCUUCGGACCUUGCGCGAUUGAAUGAGCCGAUGUCGGAUUAGCUAGUUGGCGGGGUAAAGGCCCACCAAGGCGACGAUCCGUAGCUGGUCUGAGAGGAUGAUCAGCCACACUGGAACUGAGACACGGUCCAGACUCCUACGGGAGGCAGCAGUGGGGAAUAUUGGACAAUGGGCGCAAGCCUGAUCCAGCCACACCGCGUGGGUGAAGAAGGCCUUCGGGUUGUAAAGCCCUGUUGUUGGGAAAGAAAAGCAGCAGGUUAAUACCCCGCUGUUCUGACGGUACCCAAAGAAUAAGCACCGGCUAACUUCGUG
rnacentral:rRNA from 1 species